GCAAAAUAUCAAUACCAGUAUAUUUAAAAUUAGGAAAAAUUCUUAUCAAAAUUUGAUUCAUCGUGAAUCCAAGACAUAGCGUGUAUGGUAGGAUCAACAUGUAAAAUGAAAUUCACAUGUUUACGUCUUAAGUCUUUAAUACACCAGAUCUAAAUAAGUUUUUCGCCAGAAAUCGGUUCUAAUAUUCCAGCUUGGUUACAUUUUCAUUAUGAUCUAGUAGAACAAGUUUCCAGCAUAGGAGUAAGAAAAUUGUAAAUAUCACACAAUGGGCAUCAUUUCUCAAGACAUUGUGGUUUGGCUUAACGGAAAUGUUGAGGAAACUAAUAUAUACAGAUAAGAAAAAUAAAUAAAUAAUAAAUAAUAGUAUUUCUUGGCAGCUGCUCU
rnacentral:misc_RNA from 1 species